rnacentral:rRNA from 1 species
GUGGGGAAUAUUGGACAAUGGGCGAAAGCCUGAUCCAGCAAUGCCGCGUGAGUGAUGAAGGCCCUAGGGUUGUAAAGCUCUUUUACCCGGGAUGAUAAUGACAGUACCGGGAGAAUAAGCUCCGGCUAACUCCGUGCCAGCAGCCGCGGUAAUACGGAGGGAGCUAGCGUUGUUCGGAAUUACUGGGCGUAAAGCGCGCGUAGGCGGUUUUUUAAGUCAGAGGUGAAAGCCCGGGGCUCAACCCCGGAAUUGCCUUUGAAACUGGAAAACUUGAAUCUUGGAGAGGUCAGUGGAAUUCCGAGUGUAGAGGUGAAAUUCGUAGAUAUUCGGAAGAACACCAGUGGCGAAGGCGACUGACUGGACAAGUAUUGACGCUGAGGUGCGAAAGCGUGGGGAGCAAACAGGAUUAGAAACCCGUGUAGUCC